rnacentral:rRNA from 1 species
AUUGAACGCUGGCGGCAGGCCUAACACAUGCAAGUCGAACGCGUGGCGGACGGGAGAGUAAUGUCUGGGAAACUGCCCGAUGGAGGGGGAUAACUACUGGAAACGGUAGCUAAUACCGCAUACCAUCGGAUGUGCCCGGAGGGGAUUAGCUAGUGGGGGGGGUAACGGCUCACCUAGGCGACGAUCCCUAGCUGGGCUGAGAGGAUGCCCAGCCACACUGGAACUGAUACACGGUCCAGACUCCUACGGGAGGCAGCAGUGGGGAAUAUUGCACAAUGGGCGAAAGCCUGAUGCAGCCAUGCCGCGUGUAUGAAGAAGGCCUUCGGGUUGUAAAGUACUUUCAGUGAGGAGGCGUUACUCGCAGAAGAAGCACCGGCUAACUCCGUGCCAGCAGCCGCGGUAAUUC